AAACUUCAAAAAGCUGUAGUUGGGCUUAAAGGCCGUGGAUGGAAAGAAGGGAGACUUUCGCCCUGGAAAUCCGGUGCCCCGAGAGGCAAGUUGGUCAGAGGGGAGCACACAAUGAGAGGCUGCCAUCUAUUAACCAGAGAACAAGUCCUUGCCAGACAGCAAAUCUGCUGACACCUUGAUCCUGGACUUCUAAGCCUCUAUAACUUAGGACAUGAUGAAAACUUUACAGAUGAUAUGAUGUCUGGGAUUUGUUUCAAAUAAUGAUGCAAGAGAGAGGUGGCCAUCCGGAAAACACCAGGUUAUAUUCAACCUGAGAAAGCUGAUUUAAAACAGAAACAAAAACAAGAUCUUUGUUAUUGCUGAAGACGGACAAUGGGUAUGUUGGAUUUCUUAUACUACUGUUUCUACCUCAGACUUGGCUCAUCCUUUGGUGCUGUGCAGCCCUUGAGCAGGCUUGACCCUCUCUGUGCCUCAGGGAGGUUCACCUGCUGUUCUUAUUCCCACCAGCUCCCACCUGCCUGGCACUUUCCCUUUUGGAACCUCAGGUUCUGCUUCUGUAGGAUUUGGGAAAUCUGAGCCCAGUUUCAUAAUAAAAAGUCAGAAAACA